GCGCCUGUAGCUCAGCAGGAUAGAGCGGGGGAUUCCUAAUCCCUAGGUCGGAGGUUCGAAUCCUCUCAGGCGUA
rnacentral:tRNA from 1 species